AGUUCUGAGGAAUCAACUUGUUUCAACUUUUCAAUACCAAUCAUCAAGUUCAUCUUUAGCUCCUUCCAUGCAUUCUGCACUGAAUUCUUGGGCCAAACUAUCAGGUCCUCUUUUGCUUCUACAUCUACGCAUAACUUAAUCAAGAAGCCGCAGCAACCACCAAGCAAGACCCCGAGAUUUGCAUCGGCGCUUUAUGGACUCAACCUUUUCAAGACCCUCGUUAAGUACUGAUUCUUAAUUCUGCUGUUGGGUGUCUAUCUUAACAUUCAUACUUGUACAAAUCAGGAAACUUACUAGUGAGAUUGCUAUGAAAUUCUUUCGUUGAUUCAAUCGAAGUUGUUUUAAGCUUAAUGUGAAC
rnacentral:misc_RNA from 1 species